GACGAACGCUGGCGGCGUGCCUAAUACAUGCAAGUCGAACGAAGCUGUUUUAACUGGUGCUUGCACCGACUUAAACAACUGAGUGGCGAACGGGUGAGUAACACGUGGGUAACCUGCCCCAAAGCGGGGGAUAACAUUUGGAAACAGAUGCUAAUACCGCAUAAUCACAGAAACCACAUGGUUUCUGUGUCAAAGAUGGUUUCGGCUAUCACUUUGGGAUGGACCCGCGGCGUAUUAGCUAGUUGGUAAGGUAAUGGCUUACCAAGGCAAUGAUACGUAGCCGAACUGGGAGGUUGAUCGGCCACAUUGGGACUGAGACACGGCCCAAACUCCUACGGGAGGCAGCAGUAGGGAAUCUUCCACAAUGGACGAAAGUCUGAUGGAGCAACGCCGCGUGAGUGAAGAAGGUUUUCGGAUCGUAAAACUCUGUUGGUAAAGAAGAACAAGGGUGAGAGUAAAAAGUUCACUCCUUGACGGUAUUUACCCAGAAAGCCACGGCUAACUACGUGCCAGCAGCCGCGGUAA
rnacentral:rRNA from 1 species